rnacentral:rRNA from 2 species
CACGUAGGCUGCUUUGUAAGUCAGGGGUGAAAUCCCACGGCUCAACCGUGGAACUGCCUUUGAUACUGCUUAGCUUGAAUCCGGGAGAGGGUGGCGGAAUUCCAGGUGUAGGAGUGAAAUCCGUAGAUAUCUGGAGGAACAUCAGUGGCGAAGGCGGCCACCUGGACCGGUAUUGACGCUGAGGUGCGAAAGCGUGGGGAGCAAACA